rnacentral:rRNA from 1 species
CUCUGUGACUCCUACGGGAGGCAGCAGUGGGAAUAUUGCACAUGGGGGAAACCCUGAUGCAGCCAUGCCGCGUGUGUGAAGAAGGCCUUCGGGUUGUAAAGCACUUUCAGUAGGGAGGAAGGUAGUGUAGUUAACACCUGCACUAUUUGACGUUACCUACAGAAGAAGCACCGGCUAACUCCGUGCCAGCAGCCGCGGUAAUACGGAGGGUGCGAGCGUUAAUCGGAAUUACUGGGCGUAAAGCGCAUGCAGGCGGCCUGUUAAGUCAGAUGUGAAAGCCCGGGGCUUAACCUCGGAAUUGCAUUUGAAACUGGCAGGCUAGAGUCUUGUAGAGGGGGUAGAAUUUCAGGUGUAGCGGUGAAAUGCGUAGAGAUCUGAAGGAAUACCAGUGGCGAAGGCGGCCCCCUGGACAAAGACUGACGCUCAGAUGCGAAAGCGUGGGGAGCAAACAGGAUUAGAUACCCUGGUAG